rnacentral:rRNA from 1 species
GGCGACCGGCGCACGGGUGAGUAACACGUAUCCAACCUGCCGAUGACUCGGGGAUAGCCUUUCGAGAGAAAGAUUAAUACCCGAUGGCAUAGUUCUUCCGCAUGGUGGAACUAUUAAAGAAUUUCGGUCAUCGAUGGGGAUGCGUUCCAUUAGGUUGUUGGCGGGGUAACGGCCCACCAAGCCUUCGAUGGAUAGGGGUUCUGAGAGGAAGGUCCCCCACAUUGGAACUGAGACACGGUCCAAACUCCUACGGGAGGCAGCAUG